rnacentral:misc_RNA from 1 species
CUCAAGUGCCCGAUCUGGUAUAUGACCAGAACAAAGCCAGAAGAAAUUUUGGACUGUGAUCCGGAGAUAGACAGAACUCUAAAAGCUAUCAGGAGGGAAAGGAAACAUCAAGAGCACGGUCAAGGAGAUCCUGAAAUCCCAACCAUGGCCGAUAAUAAUGACAGACCAAGACUCCUGAGAGAUUACGGAGCUCCAUUUGUCCAAGGAUUUCAGCCUAGUGUCACUAGAUCCACAGUAGAAGCCAACAACUUUGAAUUAAAACCAGCAUGGCUCCAAAUGAUUCAAUAAACCCAGUUUGCAGGUUCACCAACAGAAGACCCAUACUAUCACCUCCAGUGCUUUCUUGCCCUAUGCGACACAUUCAGGAUGAAUGGAGUGUCUGAUCAAGUAAUAAGGCUCAAAGCAUUCCCAUUCUCCCUUCGGGAGAGAGCAAGAAAGUAGUUACUUUCUCAACCAGCUGGAACAUUCACUAAUUGGGU